GACCUCUGAACCCGAUUUGGGUUUGUGCAUGGGCGCUCGCCUGUUUGGCGUCGUCUCAAAGUCAUCUGUCUUGUGAGCGGAUGAGAUCCUUUUGGACUGACCGCUUGUGGGACCCAAAAUCUCUG
rnacentral:misc_RNA from 1 species